CCUACGGGGGGCAGCAGUGGGGAAUAUUGGACAAUGGGCGAAAGCCUGAUCCAGCCAUGCCGCGUGUGUGAAGAAGGCCUUCGGGUUGUAAAGCACUUUCAGUGGGGAAGAAAGCCUUGGGGCUAAUACCCUCGAGGAAGGACAUCACCCACAGAAGAAGCACCGGCUAACUCCGUGCCAGCAGCCGCGGUAAUACGGAGGGUGCGAGCGUUAAUCGGAAUUACUGGGCGUAAAGCGCGCGUAGGCGGUCUGAUAAGCCGGUUGUGAAAGCCCCGGGCUCAACCUGGGAACGGCAUCCGGAACUGUCAGGCUAGAGUGCAGGAGAGGAAGGUAGAAUUCCCGGUGUAGCGGUGAAAUGCGUAGAGAUCGGGAGGAAUACCAGUGGCGAAGGCAGUCUUCUGGACUGACACUGACGCUGAGGUGCGAAAGCGUGGGUAGCAAACAGGAUUAGAUACCCCAGUAGUC
rnacentral:rRNA from 1 species